rnacentral:rRNA from 1 species
ACAUAACGUGGACGAACAGUCCACGAUCUCCCAGCGGGAAAAGAAGUCCCUGUGGAGUUUUACUGCAGCCUGUCGCUAAUUUCUGGAGCCACUGAAAAACACACUAAGAAGGAUCCUCUAUGAUCGUACCUAGAACCGACACAGGUGUCCCUAGGCAAGAAACCUAAGGCGUGUCGGGUAUACACUAAUGCGAGGGAACUCGGCAAAUUAGCCCCGUACCUUUGGUAUAAGGGGUGCCUGCUCUUUCAGACUUGUGCUGGAAGAGCAGGUCGCAGUGUCAAAGGGGUCUCGACUGUUUAAUAAAAACAUAGGAAACCGCAAGAGCGAAAGCUUGUGAACGGUUUCUGAAUCCUGGCCAGUACAGGUACCUGAAACCUGGGUCCAACUGGGCUAAGGGCCUGCAAACGCCGGGAGUAACUCUGACUCUCUCAAGGUAGCCAAAUGCCUUGUCGGGUAAGUUCCGACGUGCAUGAAUGGAUCAACGAGGGCCCCACUGUCCCCGCGUAGUACCCGGUGAAACCACAUAACGUGGACGAACAGUCCACGAUCUCCCAGCGGGAAAAGAAGUCCCUGUGGAGUUUUACUGCAGCCUGUCGCUGGAAUACGGCUAUGGAUACAGAGUGUAGUCGGGAGCCGUCGAUCCUGCGUCCUCCGGGACGUGGGGGAGGCAACAAUGGAACACCGACUUUCUGUAACCGUGUUUCUUACCGGCUCCUAGAGGGCCGGAACAACGGUAGGUGGGCAGUUCGGCUGGGGCGGCACGCCCUUGAAAAGAUAUCAAGGGCGCCCUAAGGUUGGCUCAGGGGGGACAGAAACCCUCCGUAGAGUGCAAGGGCAAAAGCCAGCCUGACUGUAUCCCAAACAGUAAGGGAUGCAGAGGAGAAAUCCGGGCUUAGCGAUCAUCCAUGCUCCCCUUUGGUGGGGGCUGGAUGUGUCAGAAAAAUUACCCUAGGGAUAACAGGCUCGUCGCGGGCGAGAGUCCCCAUCGACCCCGCGGCUUGGUACCUCGAUGUCGGCUCUUCCUAUCCUGGUCCUGCAUAAGGGACCAAGGGUGAGGCUGCUCGCCUAUUAAAAGGGAACGUGAGCUGGGUUUAGACCGUCGUUAGACAGGUCGGACUUUAUCUGCUGGGAGUGUUGGCUGCCUGAGGGGAAAGGGUCCCUAGUACGAGAGGAACGGGACGCUGUAGCCUCUAGUUAACCGGUUGUCUGAUAAGGCAGUCGCCGGGCAGCCACGCUGUUGUGGAUAAGAGCUGAAAGCAUCUAAGCUCGAAGCCUCUCCCGAAAAGAGGCAGCCAUUCCAGUUUCACUGGACGAAGGCACCCAUAGAAGAUGGGUUUGAUGGAGCCGGGGUGUACGCUAGAAGACUUCGGUCGACUAGCUCAGCCUGCGGCCACCAAUCGCCUAAGUUGUCAAUCAA